CCUACGGGCGGCAGCAGUGGGGAAUAUUGCACAAUGGGGGAAACCCUGAUGCAGCGACGCCGCGUGAGUGAAGAAGUAUUUCGGUAUGUAAAGCUCUAUCAGCAGGGAAGAAAAUGACGGUACCUGAUUAAGAAGCCCCGGCUAACUACGUGCCAGCAGCCGCGGUAAUACGUAGGGGGCAAGCGUUAUCCGGAUUUACUGGGUGUAAAGGGAGCGCAGACGGCAGCGCAAGUCUGGAGUGAAAUCCCAUGGCUUAACCCCGGAACUGCUUUGGAAACUGUGCAGCUGGAGUACAGGAGGGGUAGGCGGAAUUCCUAGUGUAGCGGUGAAAUGCGUAGAUAUUAGGAGGAACACCAGUGGCGAAGGCGGCUUGCUGGACAGUAACUGACGUUGAGGCUCGAAAGCGUGGGGAGCAAACAGGAUUAGAUACCCCAGUAGUC
rnacentral:rRNA from 1 species